rnacentral:lncRNA from 1 species
CGUCACUGGCCCGUAUGGGCGGAAGUGCUUGGUAACGCAGUGCUGCCAUCUUGAGGUCAUAAUAAUGAUAUUGCAACUACAUUUUGGGUGAGACGUAUUAACUGUGCGCACAGUAGAGACUUUGAAGACGGUGUGCUUUUAGUACGGAAGGCGGAGGGCUUUUGAAAAUAUUGAAAUGCCAUGUUUCUAUGCGUUUUGAGGUUUCUACCAUCUGAGCAGUGACGGAGCUGAAGACUGACACGUUAAAAAUGUGAUCUGACGGUAACCAGGCGACCGCUUUCUGCAUCAAUACCCGUAUUUCCGUACUAAUACCAACUAUCUCUCAAUUUUCGGGACGACUCGUGCUGAAAUCUCCUAAUAACAUGAAGCAUCGCAUGGUAGAUUGAAUUGGUCAUAGAAUGGAGGUUCCUGCAGUAAACCACAGCUAUACACAUCCACCACCACAGCCAUGGGCCGGACAGAGUCCCAGGACCCCAAACAGGCCUUCACCCAGCUGUCCAUUUCCUUCAUAUCACUAUCCAAACCUGAACCCAGAUCAGCAGAGUGUGACCCCCAUGACCCAAACGACAGGAACCGCAGCAGGCCAUCGGCCUCAGUCACUGUACUGGGACCCUUCACAGCAAAGCUACCAAGGAGUGUUAAAGCCUGUUCCUGAGAUUACAAAUAAGACGAAUCAAGGAAUGCCACAGAGAAGCUACUCAUUACCAACGAGUCUAGUGUCAAAUUCUAAGACAGAGUCUCGGUACGGCCUGGAUCCUCAGCUUCUGCCCAGUGUGGUAAAUGAACCGGCCCUCUUAUUCUGUAAUGUUUCCAUCAAGACAGCUCAGGUUUGAUUGCACUGUUGUGCAUGGCUGUGUUAUUUUGUCUCAGUUUCUAAAUGUCUCUUAAAUGUUCAGGUCCAGGUGAUUAAAGAGGACAGGAUCCAGUGGGAGGGGAAAGUGUUUGUUUCAGAAUGCAAAUCUUCAGUUCCCCCUCUCUCCUCAACACAAUGCACCCUGGAGGACAGAGGUACUGUCACUGCUGCCAAGUUUAGCCCGCAUUAUCUUUUGACUUUGUUCCCAAAUUCACAUGAAAAAUAAAUGUGAUGCACCUGGUUUUCUC